rnacentral:tRNA from 1 species
GCGCCCGUGGCCUAAUGGAUAAGGCGUUUGACUUCUAAUCAAGCGAUUGUGGGUUCGAGUCCCAUCGGGCGUG